ACUGUUUCUCACCAGUGGGAAUUCUUUCGUGCUCAAAAGAAACUGGAACAAUUAAGGGCUUUAGAACAAUGUUUGUAUUCACACAGCUUCUGUCCAGUAUGAACUCUUUUGUGUAUUCAGAAGGAGCUGGAACAACCGAAGGCUUCAGAAUGUUGCUUAUAUUCUUAGACUUUCUCUCCCAUAUGAGUCCUUUCAUGCAGUCGAAAGUGACUGGAAGAAAUGAAGGCUUUUCCACAUUGUUUGCAUUCAUAAGGUUUCUCUCCAGUGUGAGACCUUUCAUGAAUUCGAACAGAACUUGAAAAUCUGAAGGCUUUCCCACAUUGUUUACAUCGAUAGGGUUUCUCUCCCGUGUGAGUUCUCUCAUGCAUUCGAAAUUUACUGGAAGAAAUGAAGGCUUUUCCACAUUGUUUACAUUGAUACGGUUUCUCUCCAGUGUGAGUCCUUUCAUGCAAUCGAAUUUGACUGGAACGAAGGAAGGCCUUACCACAUUGCUUACACUCAAAAGGCUUAUUUCCAGUGUGAAUUUUUUCAUGUUCUCGAAGGGAACUUGAAAAACUGAAGGUUUUACCGCAUAGUUUACAUUCAUAGGGUUUCUCUCCAGUGUGUGACCU
rnacentral:lncRNA from 1 species